rnacentral:rRNA from 1 species
GUGCAGCAGGCGCGAAAGCGCGACGAGGGACGUCCGAGUGCCUAUGCUCAGCAUAGGCUGUUCACCGGUGUAAAAGACCGGUGGAGGAAGGGUGGACAAGACUGGUGCCAGCCGCCGCGGUAAUACCAGCGCCCAACGUGGUGAUCGAUAUUAUUGGGUCUAAAACGUCCGUAGCCGGCCCGGUAAAUCUCCGGGUAAAUCGUCCAGCUUAACUGGUCGAAUUCUGGGGAGACUGCCGGGCUUGGGACCGGGAGAGG